rnacentral:rRNA from 1 species
UACGUAGGGUGCGAGCGUUUAAUCGGAAUUACUGGGCGUAAAGUGUGCGCAGGCGGCAGAGCAAGUCGAGUGUGAAAGCUCCGGGCUUAACUUGGGAAUUGCGCUCGAAACUACUUUGCUGGAGUGUGGCAGAGGAAGGUGGAAUCCACGUGUAGCGGUGAAAUGCGUAGAGAUGUGGAGGAACACCAAUGGCGAAGGCAGCCUU